CUCUAAGCUCUCUCUCUCUCUCUCUCUCUCUCUCUCUCUCUCUCUCCGAGGUCAACAUGCCUCUUCGAGUGCUCUAUCACUCUCUGUCCAAGCUCACUCCCCUUCCUCCGUUGCCGUCACUUUCGAUUCCUCCGCCGCCGUCACUUGCCUUCCUCCUUCGCCGCCGGCAAUUCGCUCAACGUUUACGAGUCCGUAAACUUCAAUACAUAGCUGAAUUAGAAAGAAAUGUACAAGGUUUACAGGCAGAAGGAUUUGAAGUAUCUGCCGAGCUUGAAUUUCUUAACCAGCAGAAUCUCAUCCUGAGUAUGGAGAACAAAGCUCUCAAGCAACGGUUAGAAAGUUUAGCAUAAGGGCAGCUUAUCAAAUAUUGUAAGUUUCUACCAUUGAACAUAAGCUAAUAGGUCUUAUUGUAAGUUGGAAUUCGGAAGUCAUUUGUUUAUUGGUGUACCAAUCUAAAUACCUGCAUUUUGAGGGAGUGCUUAUAUAUUCACUCAUAUACAACUAGAAAAAUUGUUGGGAUGUUAUACUGCAUUUUGAUUAUCUAUUUUAUGCUGCAUCUUUAUUCAACUGGUGUUGCAUCGCCUGUCACCAAAUUGCACUCUCUCACUCUACAGGAUUGUGCAGGGAUUUCCAGUGUAUGCCCUUCUCUUUAUCUAGUUACUUGUUCACAUGGAAGCACAAAGUGAACUCCUGAAUAAUUCGAUUUUGCUUUGUCUUUUUGGAUUUUAUGAGUUUGGUUUUUAGAUCCUGCGUUUGGAAUAUGCAUAAACUUACCAUGCACUUUUCUGUUCUCAAAAGGCAUAGGUCUUGUUAUUGAAGUUUUGAUAAAGGAAAAAGAAAAUGGCUUCAAGAUUAGGUAGUGAUGAUGAUGCUGAUAAUAACAAAGGUAGCAUGUGGGCUUUGGAGCAAAAGCUGGAUCAGCUAAUGGAUGAAGAAGCUGCAAGGCUAAAAAAUAUGUAUAGAGAAAAAAGUCCUGCCUGUUGGAAAAGUGUUACUGGCUUGUCUUGCAGCUUUCAAAGAAUUGGCUUCUUGUACUCAAGGUCAAAUAGCAAUUGGAGCUUCUCUUUCUAGCAUCCACUCUCAAGCUCAUGAACUUGAAUUGCACAAUGAUGAUAAUGUUGUGAAUUAUAAUGAUCAGUGUCGCAGAAUGGAAAAAAUACCCCCCAUUACUAAGCUGUUGGAUGAAGUUGUUGAGAUCAAAUAACACACAAGGAUGAUUUGUCAACUGGUGUUGUUGAUGCUGUUUAUGUGUUAUCUCUUGUGUCUCUGCAGUUUUGCUUUGAAGGAGACAGGCAAGAUUUUUUUUCCUGUUUUUGCUUGCUGCUUCUAAUUACUUAUAUAUAUAGGUUUGUGAUCAUUCGCAAUUAAUUUUGUAAAAAACUUCUAUGCUCGUAUCGGUCGAAGUCUAAGUUAAUGUCACCCAAGAAUGUAGUAGUUGAAAAUCGAAAUAAUUAAAGCAUAGUUAUUUGAUAAUUGGUUUACAUUUUUUUUGUAAAGAAUGUGUCAUGAUGGUUUGCAGGAGAUAGUGUUUGGUUUAAUUAACUAAAGACUAAAUUUGGGUUGCAAUUGAAUUUUUUUUGUCAGUUGUGUGUAUGUUGAUAUCCAAAAGUUUGAAUUGUUGAAUUGAUAUCCAAAAGUUUCAUUAAUUUAAUUAUAAUGAAAAGUUGACGGAUCCAAUAAAGCAUGCAUACCUGACCAAGGUCCUCAGGAAAUACAGAAUUUGUUUCUCCAUGUACCUGUUUGUUUGAUAAAAUAAAAAUUUAAAAAUUAAAAAGAGGGAACUUUCCCUUCAAUUAUAUGGAACUGUCCCCUGUCAUGUGGGAUGCUUUGUACUGGGCUGCUUUGUACUUGGCUGCCCUUGUCAUGUGUAGAUCUUUACCAUUGAUUUGAUUUUUGUUUGCGAUCCAUGCUUGAGUCCGAUCUUGUUAAUCAAUGGUAAAGAUCCACAUGUAAGAUGCAACAUAUAUUUGCAUUAACUUUAAUAGUAAAAUUAUUGUGCUCAAUGCUCCUUUUGGCUUUUAAUAGCCUUUCACUAUUAAUAGCCUCAAAAUUUAGCCCACAUUUUAGCUUGGUUGAUAUGGAUAAUUAUUCUAUAAGCGGUGGUUUCUAUAUUAUAGUGAUAUCAACAAGCAUUUGCCUGGUCCACAUUUUGAUCCUCCACCAAAAGACAAAGUCAGAGAGAUGAUGAAGAUACUUUAUUGUUUCACAAUGAGAACAAACUAUGUUUUCUACUUAUAUGAAAUCUUCACCAUAUGAUUAUAUGAAGUGAAUCUGUGCUUUUUGUUAAAGACAUUUUAUGAAGUAUAUGCAUUUCUUGAUCAUUUUUUAGUUUUUGAUGUAUUCAUUUAUUUAACUAUGUUAAUGAUGGAGGGUUUAACCUGAAAAGGUACCUUUUUCCAUCUGCUAAAUUGUUUAUAAUAUAGAACUCUGGGUCCUUUGAGUAGUUGCUGAGUCAAUUAUGUUUGCAAGAGCUAUUCUACAUUGAGUUUAUGUGAACAAACUUCACUGAAUUGUGAUGGUUUAUGGAGAACCAUUUUUUUAUGCUUGCAAUCGAUAUGAGGCAACAAAACAAUAGGGAGUGGUAAGGGGCAAAGAAUGACUAUUGUUUGCACAUUCUUCCCCUCAAUUAUAUUUCAAAUAAUAUCUGCUUAUAAUCUAAAUUUUGUUCCAUGUAGUAUGAUGAAACCGAAAGAAGAGAAAUGGCAAAGAAUUCAUUGGAGAGGUACACGCAUUAUUAUGAGCGAUGGGCCAGCAAUCAAUCCAUACGCACUGCUUUAUACUUAUCAGUAUUCUAGGAAAAUGUUUUCUCACAUAUCUAAAUUCAUUGAUUAGUUUUAUAUUUGGAUAGUAUUCUUACUAUGUUAUAUGCUUUAUGAUUAAUUUUUUUUCUAUGGCAGUCGAGGCAAAAAGCUCUUGCAGAUCUACACCAGAUGCAAACUGUUCAUGUAUGUUACAUAACAUUUGCUAUAUUUUGCAUUAGCUUGUAUCUGUCUUUUGCAACUCUUUCAGAAAGAAUGGUAUAUAAGAUUGCACAUGUUUCUUUUUAGUAGUACAUGUUGCUGCUUUUGUAGUCCAUUGAUUAUUUCCGUGUCAAGAGUCUGUUUAAAAUUGAGGCUCUUAAACUGCUGCUCUCGAAUCUUCUUUCUUCUAAGUAGAGCUUAAUAUGAGGUUGCGAGGAUCUUGUUAAAGGAAUUGCUGGUGAUCUUGUAGAAGAGGUAUUCUGCUGAUAUUGCUGAAGCAAAAUACAACUAUUGGUUUACCUUCGCGCCUAAUCCUUUUGAAGUUGUAUUAAUUGGUCUACAUAGGUAUAGGCUUGUAGUAUUUUUUGUUAGAUUGUAACAUAAUUUAUUACUUUUCAAGAGA